UACGAAGGGAGCUAGCGUUGUUCGGAAUUACUGGGCGUAAAGGGCGCGUAGGCGGACAUCUAAGUCAGGGGUGAAAUCCCAGGGCUCAACCCUGGAAUUGCCUUUGAUACUGGACGUCUCGAGUUCGGGAGAGGUGAGUGGAAUUCCGAGUGUAGAGGUGAAAUUCGUAGAUAUUCGGAGGAACACCAGAAGCGAAGGCGGCUCACUGGCCCGAUACGUGACGCUGAGGCGCGAAAGCGUGGGGAGCAAACAGG
rnacentral:rRNA from 1 species